AGAUACCAGCUGGCUGCAACUGUUUAUUAAAAACACAGCACUGUGCAAACACGAAAGUGGACGUAUACGGUGUGACGCCUGCCCGGUGCUGGAAGGUUAAUUGAUGGGGUUAUCCGUAAGGAGAAGCUCUUGAUCGAAGCCCCAGUAAACGGCGGCCGUAACUAUAACGGUCCUAAGGUAGCGAAAUUCCUUGUCGGGUAAGUUCCGACCUGCACGAAUGGCGUAAUGAUGGCCAGGCUGUCUCCACCCGAGACUCAGUGAAAUUGAACUCGCUGUGAAGAUGCAGUGUACCCGCGGCAAGACGGAAAGACCCCGUGAACCUUUACUAUAGCUUGACACUGAACAUUGAGCCUUGAUGUGUAGGAUAGGUGGGAGGCUUUGAAGUGUGGACGCCAGUCUGCAUGGAGCCAACCUUGAAAUACCACCCUUUAAUGUUUGAUGUUCUAACGUUGCCCCAUUAUC
rnacentral:rRNA from 1 species